CUCGUCAGGAUCGGAAGCAAGCAGGCGGUAGCU
rnacentral:SRP_RNA from 13 species